rnacentral:rRNA from 1 species
GAGGGUGCAAGCGUUGUCCGGAAUCAUUGGGCGUAAAGAGUUCGUAGGCGGUUUGUUAAGUCUGGUGUUAAAGCCCGAAGCUCAACUUCGGUUCGGCACUGGAUACUGGCAGACUAGAAUGCGGUAGAGGUAAAGGGAAUUCCUGGUGUAGCGGUGAAAUGCGUAGAUAUCAGGAGGAACAUCGGUGGCGUAAGCGCUUUACUGGGCCGUAAUUGACGCUGAGGAACGAAAGCCGGGGUAGCGAA